rnacentral:rRNA from 1 species
UACGUAGGGUGCAAGCGUUGUCCGGAAUUAUUGGGCGUAAAGAGCGUGUAGGCGGCCAGGUAGGUCCGGUGUGAAAACUCGAGGCUUAACCUCGAGAUGUCAUCGGAAACCAUCUGGCUAGAGUCCGGAAGAGGAGAGUGGAAUUCCUGGUGUAGCGGUGAAAUGCGCAGAUAUCAGGAAGAACACCAAUGGCGAAGGCGGCAUCCUGGACCAACACUGACGCUGAGGAGCGAAAGCCAGGGGAGCAAACGGG